AAGCAACGACCGCAACAGUAACACAAGGACGGCACCGGAAAGUUUGAUAGUGUUUAUAGACAGAGAGAGUAAAUGACAACCACUUAGUCCCGCCUAACAAUUGAAGUGGACUGUGGCAGAACCUCCUGAAUUAAGUGGCCCACAUGCACCCAUCAUUGUCUCAAAGACUUCUGAUCAGCGUGCACGAGUUCCAAAUGACUUAAGAAGUCUGUCGGGUGUCCUCGGGAAACCCGAAUCAUCCACAUUUUAACUCAUACAGGAUCAACAUGGAGUUACCACAACAUUACAACAUUUGUUACAAAAAUAACUUACAUCAGAGUGCGGAAGAUUUAUAACUUAAUUUACAACAUAUGAUGAAGUACAAACUUAACUAAAUUUCCAAAAGGUGUGUAGAGUAGCGAAAGCAUCUUAGGUGAAGCUUCUAAGGUAGAAGAGGUGGAUAAAUCAUGUCGCGCCCACCGACAUGACCUCCAUUAGCAGUCUAAGUCAGCACCUGCAACAGGGGUUAUAAAACCCUGAGUACAAAAGUACUCAACAAGACUUAACCGACUAGAAAAGAGGUGAAGACUCAGGUAUGCAGGCUAUAGGGAUUCAAGGUAAAACUUUAGCAAGAUCAAAACAUUUCUUUUGCAUAAAAGCUUACUAAGAGUAAAACCUACUUUCAAGUUUUAACUCAAGAUCAUCAUUUAUGACUAAUCAAAACUAUUAUCAAACUUUCAUAAGCAUACCACCUCUUUCUCUUACCAAAGAUCCAUUUAUUACUACGAUGAUGGUACGAGGAUUGAGGCUCCAUAUUCGAGGAAACACGGCGAUUCGAAUCGAUUAAACCCAGCUGGGGAUUCAGUACCACACGACAUAUGUAGAACUUAAUCUUGCAUAUGUCAACCUUUUCUAUAGAUCCUCUCAUACAAGAACGGGUCCAGCGUCACCCGAGAGUACAGUACACCACCAUCCUAUAGCCAAUCUAGAUGUUUCCCGGUCAUCUCAGAUCCGUAAGGUGGGUACACGCUACUCUCGCCAUCUCUCCACUCCCAGUACGCGGUUAGCCGUUCUCGAGUAUCGGAAUAGCUAUAGGUAAGGCUUACCACCGCAUGUGAGCUGUACUCAAAGAUCUCAAUCACAACAGGCCAACAACGGUACGGUCCUUAAUCGACACAGUUGGAGACACUACUUUAAGACUCCAUUCUUAAAGCAAGUCCACCGACCGGUCUCAAGUUGAACAUCAUUAACCAUAAAAGUAUUCCACAACAAUCCUUCAAACUUUCUCAUUUGAAAACCUAUCUAAUAAGCAGGGCUAAGCAUACUAAGCAUUUUCAUAAAACAAGUAUCAAGGUUAAUAUUGAAAUCAUCAAGGUAGAUAAUGCAGCAAAUAGGAUUCACUCAACUCCUAUUCACCUAAUGCAUCAUAUUAACUCAAGUGAUAUAAAUAACUUUAUGAAAAUACAAGGAUAGGGUUUAAUGUCCGGGGCUUGCCUUGACCGGAAGGGAAGUUCGGCAACUCAGCAAAACCCGAAGGAUCCACAAACUCGGAAGCAACCCACUGAGGAUCAGAUUCUUCUGGAGCGUAUUCUAUACGUAAAAGUGCAUAUGCAUGAUUAUGAUAUACUCAUGGCAUGAUAAAGACAGGUUACAUGUUCUUGGAUGAUAACAACAAACAUAACUACCUCGAGUACAACUUACCUUCACGGUAUAGAAACAAACUAUCUUAGUUAUCAAAGCAUAGGUUACUACUAAGCAAAUUUUAUCAUCUUCAUUAAGCAAAGUUGUGUAGUUAUUAAGCAACAAAGAUCAUUUACAUGAAAGAAUCCUUAACCAGGGAGCAUAUUAUACCAAGUAACCACUGGUUAUCAAUCAAUCCCAAAGAUCAACCAAAACCUAAAAUGAUUAGGCUUUCUAUUUAUCUUAAUAAAUUCUUAAUUAAAUAUUAAAGACAAUAAUUAAGUAUUAACAUCAAACAAUAAUUAAGUGCCAAAGGUCAUUAAAAGAUAAUGACCUUAGGUCAUCACAUAAUCCCAAAAGCACUCAAAUUCUAAUUUGGAAAUUAAGCUACUCAUUAUUUAAGUAAAGGCUAGCUAAAAACAAACAACUUUAUUUGCACACAUAACCAGGACAACAGUAUAUACACAACUUCAUUCAACCAUAAUUAGAGAUCCAAACAUCCAAUAAAGGUGAUAUUAGACUUUCUGGAAAGCUUAGAUAAUUUUCCACAACUUUGUUAUUAUCUUCGAGAACUGAUUUAAAAGAUAAAAUAGCCAAACAAUAUGAAUAAACAAUUCUGUCCAGACCUUGGACAGAAUCAGACAUUAAGCUUCAUACAUCUAUAACCAGAGUUCUAGAUCACCAAAAUUCAUGAUACAUAACAUUUUGCAAAGCUUAUGAAAAUUACUACAAUUCAUCUUUUAUCAUGAAAGCAUAAUUCAUAAGUUUAGUAGGUUUAAAUUGCACAACUACAGAAACUGAUCCAGGAUUUGACAGAAAGAAACCAUUUCUGAAACUUAAAUUUAAACAGGCAUAACUCAGAAACUAUAGGGCCAAAUGCCACCAAAAUUUAACACCAGCUAGAUACAUGAAUUCUAUAUAACUUUAUUAUAGACAAGUUUCAUAUCCAACAUUAUUUACCUAGAGAAAUUCAUAAUACUCCAGAAACUGUCGAGAAACCACUAAUAUUUGAAUUAUAAAGAAAUAACAUUUUGUUUAUGUUCCAAACUUGAACCUGGGCAAAACCCAGCUUACCAACAGUUAAAAUACAUCAAAGAGAUACUAGAAAACAUCAUGAUCAUCCCUAAAUAAAUUCCUUUCAUGCCUUUAUUAAUUUAUUUAGGUAAAUAGACAAAGUAAUAACCAUAUAUCAAAAGUGCACAGUAAAAUCUGAGAAAACUACAGAAGCACAUAUAUGCUCUCCAAAGUCUACUGUAUAAAUUUCAUACCAUUUGUAUAAGUAUAGCAAUUUCCAUGAAAAAGAUAAAUUUCCAUCACAAGGAAGCAUGUAACAGCAAGAUAAAUAAGAAACUCAACAUUUUCUACAAACACAUAGCUAAAUUAUUUACCUAUAUGAUAUAACAAUCUCAUAUAAAGCUACAGGAACCAUAUUUUAUAUUUAUUAAUUUUUAGUUUAAUUAUAGACAAUUUAGUAAGCACUAAACAAGAUAAAAUAAUAACUUAACCAUAUGUCAUCCAAUGAAUCUAAAAACUUAACCACAGCACACACACAUAAUUAUUAGUCUACCAUAAAAGUUUCAUCUUAAAAUAAGCUAUACAGCAAAAGAUAUGAAUUUCUUCCUUUUAAGCAUAAUUAAAAGACAUAAUUCAUAACUAAUUAUUUUAUUACAAAACAUGGCCAGUUUCAUAUUUUUAAUAAAAACUAGACAUCUCAUGGAGCACAACAAAAUUUGGUUCACCAAAAUUAGAGUUACCAAACUCCAGAUAUGAAUUUUCAAACAUUCAACAAAACAUCUACAAACAAGUCCUUAUAGCACUAUUCACCUGAGUCACGGUCUAUGCAGCUAGGCCCCUGCAGAAGUUCUAAUUGUUGCACGAGGUCCCUGGUCGCGAAUGGAAAACAGAGGAACUCGUCGGAGAUCCCCGUUUCAGCGUUGGGGUGCUCCAUGGCCGCAACGGAGCAGUGACGGAGUAUCUCCAUGGUCCGUCGCACUCGUUGGCAGCCACUUCUUGGACCGAGGUAGCCUGUGGAAGCCUGGCCACGGUGAAGCUCCCACGGCGGCGUUUCGGUCGGACUUGGAGAAGAACGGCUCGGUGGAGGGCUUACGGUGGGUUAAAGCUUGCGCUUGGGGGCGCAAUCGGUGACUGGGUUCGGGGCGGAGCUGCUGGUGCACUUGAGUGGUUUGGAAAGGGAGCGAGGAAGGCGAAAUGGAGGAGCACAGCAAGGUCGCCGGCGCCGGUGCGAGAGAAGGAACAAGCGCCUCGUCCAGGAAAGACUUUUAUCACGAAAGGAAGGGACGUCGUGCCUCCACGUCGUCUGGCGACGCAGGCAGCCAAGCAGCUGCGUGCCCUCACGCACGCAGGCGGCGCUGCGCGGGCGG
rnacentral:lncRNA from 1 species